rnacentral:tRNA from 1 species
CGGCGCUAUGGCAAGUGGAAGACGGUGCAUCGCCGCUUCAGCCGCUGGUGUCAUGCCGGCGUGUGGAAGCGGGUGUUCGAGGCGCUCACCGCCGA